CGGCGUGGAUGAGGCAUGCAAGUCGAACGAGAGUAGCAAUACUCUAGUGGCGAAAGGGUUAGUAAUACAUGGGUAACUUGCCUUUAACUUGGGAAUAACGGUUGGAAACGACCGCUAAUACCGAAUGUGGAGGAGAUGAGGCGACUUAUUUCUUUUAAAGUAGGGGACCAGCGAUGGCCUUGCGGUUAAAGAGAGGCUCAUGAGAUAUCAGCUAGUUGGUGUGGUAAUGGCGCACCAAGGCAAAGACGUCUAGGCGGAUUGAGAGAUUGACCGCCAACACUGGGACUGAA
rnacentral:rRNA from 1 species